UUUAUGACCCCAACGGCUUGCAAUACCGGCAGUGUUUAAUGGAGAAGAGUUUUUUAUGUUGUUGUUUUUUUAAACAUAAAACAAAAGAACUUAGACCACAGCAGAACUCCAGGGAGGAUGAUUGACAGCUGAACAGAAAUGAUGAACAGACAAGAAGUGAUGAGAUCAGUUCAGUCCACUGAGGGAGGAGUGAGAAUGACAGCACCUGUGCAGGAAGAUUACAGGUUGGAGACAGCUAACAGUCUAAGAUGGACCCCUUACCUGUCCAGGGUCUACCUGUGAACCACGUUGGUUGGUCCUGCUGGUCUCCUCAGACCCCCUCCACCGGCCCAGCUCAGGAUGGAGCUUUUAAAACCCUGGAAAUAAAAAGGACAUAAAAAA